AACGAACGCUGGCGGCGUGGCUAAGGCAUGCAAGUCGAACGAACAUAUCCAAGGGGUAACCCGAGGAUAUGUUAGUGGCGAACGGGUGAGGAAUACAUGGACAACGUACCCCGGACUCGGGGAUAGCGGCGGGCCGCAAGGCCCUUUGCGAAAGUGCCGGUAAUACCCGAUGACCCCGCGGAUUCGCAUGGAUCUGUGGGCAAAGCUCCGACGGUCCAGGAUCGGUUCAUGUCCUAUCAGCUAGUUGGUGAGGUAACGGCCCACCAAGGCAACGACGGGUACCGGGCGUGAGAGCGUGACCCGGCACAUCGGAACUGAGAUACGGUCCGGACACCUACGGGUGGCUGCAGCAACGAAUAUUCCGCAAUGGACGCAAGUCUGACGGAGCGACGCCGCGUGCAGGAUGAAGUCCCUCGGGAUGUAAACUGCUGUCGGGGGUGAGGAAUUCAUUGACCAACCCCCAGAGGAAGCAUCGGCUAACUCCGUGCCAGCAGCCGCGGUAAUACGGAGG
rnacentral:rRNA from 1 species